AUUAACAAUGUCUACACUGUAUUUCUGAUCAAUUUGUUGUUAUUUUAAUGGACAAAAAAUGUUUUUCUUUCAAAAACAAGGAAAUGUCUAAGUGACCCCACACCGUUGAAUGGUAGUGUACAUACAGAUUUGGUUAAAUAAAGUGAACUUCUCCUUUUAAAGCGGAUUUCAGGCCUAAAUCGCAUCCUGCUCAGCCCCCCCCCGCCAUACAUAUACACACACCUCGUUACCCUGAGCAGAUGACAAAUUUGUGACAGGCAGUUGCUCACUGUAUAACACUGUUUUAAAUGUAAUGUAAUUGUGUUUAAAACCCUAUAUUGUCACACAUUCUAUUCUACAUAUUUAAUUGUUCUAUGAAUCUGCUUCAUGAGUUACUCUCUCUUCAAAACAGUUUUAGAGGGCAAUGCACCAUAAAUAACCCAGCUCAUUCUAGCCUGUAAUCUGUGCUAUUAGCCCAGAUGAAAGUACUGUGUUGAUAUGUGAGUUUAGAGAUUCGCUCAGAGAACAGGUGAUGAGUCUAAAUCUCUUAAAUAUCCCCUCCUGCUCCCCACGGUGCUAAACUUCUGUCCCAGUCACAUCCCUACCUGACCCUACAAGGGCCAAUCCAGUAGUUUUACCACCGCUUCCCUGACCUCGUGCCUCCUCCCACUCCACUAAAGACCUCGGGGCUGCAGACUGGUGUCUGUUGGUUUUCACCAUGGUACUUCACUGUUCCAUUAUGUAAUAACUGGUUCGUUAAGAAUCCACUCACACCCACCUGGUUUCCCAGGUUUGCAUCAGAUGCUGAUUGAAGGGUAAGAGAGACUGAGUGAAAACCAGCAGAAAUCAUAGCCCUCCUGGUCCAUGCUCUUAAAUGACUGGAAUGAGUCAAAAAAAUAUAUAUAUAUUGCCAAACCUAAAGUCCUAUUUGACUUUUGUCACCUUUUUGUGCUAUCUGCUCACAAACGGUAUGAUGUAGAACCUAUAAGCUAUUUUACUUUAUUUCUAUGUCUUUAAAAUCAAUGUUGAAAUUACAAAAGUGACUCGACUUUACAAUGCAAAGUAACCAAUUUUGUAAGGAACUGCUUAGUCAUUUACAGUAGUAGAGGUUAGUAUGUUAGGCCAGCAAGCAAAGCUAAUCAUUUACAGUAGUAGAGGUUAGUAUGUUAGGCCAGCAAGCAAAGCUAAUCAUUUACAGUGUAGUAGCCUACUCAACCUGAAAAGAGCAGCUGAUCUUUGUCCAAUCUGUAUCCAUCAAAUAUCACAUUUACAGAACAUGUAGGAGCUCCUAUCCCGAGACAACCCCCCUCCCAGUCAGUAUAUUAAGCUAUCCAAGGGUGUCUGUGCUUGAUUCUCUCAUGUAGCGUAUCUUGGUGAAUCUGUAGAAUGCUAUUGAGGGGUUAUCAGGUCAACCAGACAGGAAUGAAUUAUGAGACCCACUCUAACAUUAAUGAGUUAACCCAUCACAUCCCAUCAAGAUGAGCCCUUUGUUCUCAAGUGCACUUACUGUAUGUUAGCAGGAGGUGCAGCAGGAGGGGGUUUAGCAUGGAUAAAUGCUAUGCCAAGGACUGGAGGGCUCUUAUGGGUAUGUAGGCUGUAUCUAUGGGUUUGAGUUUAAAAUGGUAAAAGGUGCUUUUUCAACAGGCUACUGCACUUAGGAAAUCAUAUAGAGAACUAUGGACUUUUCAGGGUAGCAGUCUUGGCCAACAUCCCUUGAGGGAACUGUACUCACAUUUGCCACCCAUCACAUUGGUUCAGAACUUUUGCUAGAAACACAUGUUGUGUUGCCUUUGGAUGGGUUACCUCAGAAUUGAGCACUUCAUCAACAGCAUCACUGGUAAUCAUCACCAUCAAAUGGCCUAUUACACAGUUUGUUCUUUGAGCAUGACUAGUUCGAAUAGAUCACAACCACACAAUCCCACUCAGACGUCUGACCCAGCUGUGUGUCCAUGGCUGGUCUAGUCCCUCUGAUUCAGUCCUGUUGUGUGUUCCCCUUCCUGCCUUACCUUUAACCAUGGGGUUCUCUCUCCCAAUAACUAUAUCAUCCAAAGUAUACACACACUCAACUGUACUGUAUGUUUGCUAAAAUACAGGUUCUAUUUUUUCAAAUACCAGAAAAGCUAUUUUCCUAUGUAUGAUAAUAAAGGAUAAGAAAAUUGAA